rnacentral:rRNA from 1 species
UGUGUAGGCGGUCAGAUUAGUCAGUGGUCAAAGCCUGCGGCUUAACCGUAGUACGCCAUUGAUACUGUCUGACUUGAGUGCGACAGAGGAAAUUGGAAUGUGUGGUGUAGCGGUGAAAUGCAUAGAGAUCACACAGAACACCGAUUGCGAAGGCAGAUUUCUAUGUCGUAACUGACGCUGAGACACGAAAGCGUGGGGAGCGAACAGGAUUAGAUACCCUGGUAGUCC